rnacentral:rRNA from 1 species
GCCAAACAGCUAGCUUAAUUAUUCUAUAAUUUAACAAUAUAAAUAUAAUAAAAUAAACUAAAAUAAAAAACUAAACCAUUUUUUUACCUAAGUAUGGGAGACAGAAAAGGUAUCAUAAAGCAAUAGAAAUAGUACCGCAAGGGAAAGCUGAAAGAGAAAUGAAAUAAAACAUGCAAGCAUUAAAAAGCAAAGAUUAAAUCUUGUACCUUUUGCAUCAUGAUUUAGCAAGUACACUCAAGCAAAGAGAACUUUAGUUUGAAACCCCGAAACCAAGUGAGCUACCCCGAGGCAGCCUAUAAGGGCCAACCCGUCUCUGUGGCAAAAGAGUGGGAAGAACUCCGGGUAGAAGUGAUAAAUUUACCGAACUUGGUGAUAGCUGGUUACCCAAGAAAUGAAUAGAAGUUCAGCCUUAUUCACCUUACAUUAAAUAAUUAUACAAGAUAUAUAAGUAAUAAAUAAGAGUUAGUUAAAGGGGGUACAGCCCCUUUAACCAAGGACACAACCUUUUAAGAAGGAUAAAGAUCAUAAUAUAUAAAAUGCACUGUUUUAGUGGGCCUAAAAGCAGCCAUCUAAAUAGAAAGCGUUAAAGCUCAAACAGAGAAAAAUUUAUUAUUCCGAUAAAAAAUCUUAUUCCCCUAUAAAGUACUGGGUUAAUCCAUGUAAACAUGGAAGAAAUUAUGCUAAAAUGAGUAACAAGAAGGCCAGCCCUUCUCCCAGCACAAGCGUAAACCAAAUCGGACCAACCAUUGGUAAUUAACGAACUCAACCAAAGAGAGUAAUGUGAAAUAUUAAUAAAAUCAAGAAAAGCCCACAACAAAAUAUCGUUAACCCUACACUGGAGUGCUUAAAAGGAAAGACUAAAAGAAAAGGAAGGAACUCGGCAAACAUAAGCCUCGCCUGUUUACCAAAAACAUCGCCUCUUGCAAUAAAACCAAGUAUAAGAGGUCCAGCCUGCCCGGUGACCACAAGUUUAACGGCCGCGGUAUUUUGACCGUGCAAAGGUAGCGCAAUCACUUGUCUUUUAAAUAAAGACCUGUAUGAAUGGCUAAACGAGGGCUUAACUGUCUCCCAUUUCAAGUCAGUGAAAUUGAUCUAUCCGUGCAGAAGCGGGUAUAAAUAUACAAGACGAGAAGACCCUUUGGAGCUUAAGGUAAAAACUCAACCACGUUAAGCAACUCAAUAAAAAGCAAUUUUUAACUUUGUGGUAAAUGAAAUAAUUGCCUUCGGUUGGGGCGACCACGGAGGAAAACAAAGCCUCCAAGUGGAAAGGGGUAAACCCUAAAACCAAGAGAGACAUCUCAAAGCCACAGAACAUCUGACCAUAAAGAUCCGGUUAACUAAAACCGAUCAACGAACCAAGUUACCCUAGGGAUAACAGCGCAAUCCUCUCCCAGAGUUCAUAUCGACGAGGGGGUUUACGACCUCGAUGUUGGAUCAGGACAUCCUAAUGGUGCAGCCGCUAUUAAGGGUUCGUUUGUUCAACGAUUAAAGUCCUACGUGAUCUGAGUUCAGACCGGAGUAAUCCAGGUCAGUUUCUAUCUGUAAAGCUACUUUUCCUAGUACGAAAGGAUCGGAAAAGAGGGGCCCAUGCUUAAGGCACGCCCCACCCCUAAUUUAUGAAAACAAAUAAAUAUGGGUAAAGGAGGGCAAAAAUCCCAACUAACCAAAAUAAGGACAU